GAUGAACGCUAGCGGCAGGCUUAAUACAUGCAAGUCGAGGGGCAGCAUGAUUGUAGCAAUACAAUUGAUGGCGACCGGCAAACGGGUGCGGAACACGUACACAACCUUCCGACAAGUGGGGGAUAGCCCAGAGAAAUUUGGAUUAAUACCCCGUAACAUAGCGAUGUGGCAUCACAUUGCUAUUAUAGAUUUUUCGCUUGUUGAUGGGUGUGCGGCUGAUUAGAUAGUUGGCGGGGUAACGGCCCACCAAGUCUACGAUCAGUAGCUGAUGUGAGAGCAUGAUCAGCCACACGGGCACUGAGACACGGGCCCGACUCCUACGGGAGGCAGCAGUAAGGAAUAUUGGACAAUGGACGCAAGUCUGAUCCAGCCAUGCCGCGUGAAGGAUUAAGGUCCUCUGGAUUGUAAACUUCUUUUAUAAGGGACGAAAAAAGGCUUUUCUAAGCCGUCUGACGGUACCUUAUGAAUAGGCACCGGCUAACUCCGUGCCAGCAGCCGCUGUAACAC
rnacentral:rRNA from 1 species